GCAUAGGAGCUAUUGCAAUUAGCAUUCUUGUUAGUAAAAGAUACGAAGGCAUUUGAAUUCUUGAAUGUUCAAUAAUGGGUUUCAAAUUCUGUUUCCCUCCCUCCAUCCCUUCCAUCCUUUUUUCCCUAAUUUGAUAAGAAAAUGGUAUUGUUUUGGUAUUACCAGUGACUUUGCAAAUGUAAUGCCCAUGCAACAUUUCUUCUUUAGGAAGUGUCUACAUAUGUUCUUUGUCCAGCUAUUUUUUGAAGCACAUGUUCAUAAUCGGUUGGGAUUUUAGCCUUACUUUUGGCAUUUACAAGCUGUAUGAUAGACUUCUAUGUCCUGUAACAUGAGUACCACUUAAAACAAUUAAAAUACCAGAUAGAGUAAAACAAACAAACAAACAAAAACUCUUAAAUGUACCCAGGAGCUAGCAAAAAAAGAAAUGCUGAGGACAAGAUUAAGUUAAGACUGGUACUGAAAGUGGUACGGCAAGCACUUAAAUCGUUUUUCACCUUGAGAAUAUUUGCUGAAUCAGCUGAACUUGAGCGUUAGCUUUUUUUUUUUUUUCUUUUUUUCUUGCUUCAGAAGGUGGGACAACCCAAUAGCCGACCAUCCAUAAUGCUGGGACCACAAAAGGCUACUUAGUGUAAGCAUAAACUAGACACACCACAUUGAUCAUAAUAACAGUAGCAAACAUUUAUAGAGCUUACCGCAUUUUCAGUGUGUCAAAGAUAUCAACUCGUUUAAUCUUCACAAAAAUUAUAAAAAAGGUACCAUUAUAAUCCUCACCUUAGAGGUCAAGACAGUGAAGCACAGAAAGGUUAAAUAAUUUGCUCAUGGUAAAUUAGUAUUAAUUAGUAUUAGAUUAGUAUUAAUUUGUAUUAGAUCCAAAAUGCAAAUUCUGAUACUCUGUGUCUAG
rnacentral:lncRNA from 10 species